AACGAACGCUGGCGGCAGGCUUAACACAUGCAAGUCGAACGGGCGUAGCGAUACGUCAGUGGCAGACGGGUGAGUAACACGUGGGAACCUUCCUAGGGGUACGGAACAACUCAGGGAAACUUGAGCUAAUACCGUAUGUGUCCGAGAGGAGAAAGAUUUAUCGCCCUUAGACGGGCCCGCGUCGGAUUAGCUAGUUGGUGGGGUAACGGCCUACCAAGGCGACGAUCCGUAGCUGAUCUUAGAGGAUGAUCAGCCACACUGGGACUGAGACACGGCCCAGACUCCUACGGGAGGCAGCAGUGGGGAAUCUUGGACAAUGGGGGAAACCCUGAUCCAGCCAUGCCGCGUGAGUGAAGAAGGUCUUCGGAUUGUAAAGCUCUUUUGCCAGGGACGAUAAUGACGGUACCUGGAGAAUAAGCCCCGGCAAACUUCGUGCCAGCAGCCGCAGUAAGAC
rnacentral:rRNA from 1 species